rnacentral:rRNA from 1 species
AUUGAACGCUGGCGGCAUGCCUAACACAUGCAAGUCGAGCGGCAGCGCGGGGGCAACCCUGGCGGCGAGUUGCCAACGGGUGAGUAAUUCAUCGGUACGUAUCCUCCAGUUGGGGCUAAGCCAACGACAGGUGGGCUAAUACCGCAUGAGCUCUUAGGAGGAACGCGGGGGACCUGCGGGGGCAUCGCGCUGGAGGGGCGGCCGAUGUCCGAUUAGCUAGUUGGUGGGGUAAAGGCUUACCAAGGCGACGAUCGGUAGCCGGUCUGAGAGGAUGAUCAGCCACACUGGAACUGAGACACGGCCCAGACUCCUACGGGAGGCAGCAGUGGGGAAUUUUGGACAAUGGGGGCAAGCCUGAUCCAGCCAUGCCGCGUGAGUGAAGAAGGCCUUCGGGUUGUAAAGCUCUUUCGGUCGGAAAGAAAAGAGGGGGACUAAUACGCCUAUCUGAUGACGGUACCGUAAGAAGAAGCACCGGCUAACUACGUG